UCAGGAAAGUGUUAACUUUUAAUCUUAAGAAGUGAUGCUGGAGAUGUCCCAUGUCGGUAUUAUUUUUCAUCAUAAAAUAGCUGUUUUUUAAGUGGAAAUAGUCUUUUAAAGACAAAGCUAAAACUUAUACCCAAAAGAAAUGAUGGUUACUUCGUGCAAAUGGUUUCCAGUUAGUUAUUAGAAAGGGCACAGAACUCCACUGUACGUCAGGGCACUUAUGGGGGGAAGGGAGUCAAAGGAAGGGGGAGAGGGUUCGUUAUUCUUAAUCUUUUAUUGACUAGUUUCUUUCAUCCUAGUGUGUCCUUAUUAUUGAGAAAGAAAAAAAUUAAAAAGUGACCCAGAGCUCCACCCAUUUGCACCUAAAUCCUGGAAUAGGUGAUGACCCUGUACAACCUAGCUCAGCACAUGCCCCCAAACUAAAACAAACAAACUCAUUUGCCAUACAAAUUGUUUACGAUUCAUUAAAAAGCAAAAUUGCAUAUCCCGGAGCUGGCAGCUGAGGCCGAGUCUCCAUGGGCGGAGGGGGCAUUCACUGAGUUGCCUUUGUAUGCUGGGAGGACCAAGCCGGAGGUUCCCACUAUGAGCUCGGAGUCGGAGCAGCCAGAUGACACAGGAGCUUUGUUUCCAGGACCCUUGGAAAUGUGAAACUCGACAAGAGCACGUGACUUGAACGCAGCAUGUAAUAGCAGCUAACGUUUAUCCAGUGUUUCCUCUCAGUCAGGCCAUGUUCCAAGAGCCUUAAGUAUUUUUUUUCCAGGUGAUUGACACCCUGCCAGGUGCUCAAGAAUUCCAAGGGGAAAGACAGUGGCUUGCCCUCCAGUGCACACUAGCUCUCACUGAGGAAGCAGGUUACCAGAAAAACACUGUGCAAGAUGCCAAGAUAGAGAGGCAAUUAAUAGUCUUACCCAGUUGUGACACCUUUCAACCCUGGCAAUGACCAGCAUGAAAACGGAGACCCUCACUGAAAUCCACAGCUGGACACAAUGUAGACAUCAACAGAUCCCGGGCAGCCCUAUUCCGCUGGCUACGCCUACAUCACGACUUCUGCAUUUACUGCUCGGCAAACAUCACAGAGGAGGGGAUAAGAAGACUAUGAAAAUGAAACACCAGAAGUCGGCUGUGAAACAGCCUUUUCUAGAAAUUCCUGCAUAAGCAAGAUCUGAACCCCGUGGCAAUAUCAGUAGACAUGUUGACGUGGAAAGGAAAAACAAAUCUCACAGGAUCACAUCCGUGGAUAAGGCAACUGAUGACUGCUGGGAACGGGAGAGUUAUCCCCUACCAGGGAUGAGCUCUCUAAUUAGUUAUCCAGUACAAAUAGUAUCACUGAAACUGUACAUCCACAAACAACAGACUGGACUCGGUUUCUGUCUGAGUGGCCUGUCUGUUAUUAAGAGGGGAUAUUGUGAUCUUCUAUUGUUAUUGUGUUACUGUGUAUUUCCUGGGUUCUUUCAAUGUUUGCUUCAUACAUUUGGAUGUUCUGAGUACAAAAUUCUGGUGAGUUCACUGUUUUUAUCUAUAUCUCUGUCUAUAUCUCUAUCUAAUAUAUAUCUAUAUAUAACACUUUUUGUUUUUCAUGACAUUUUAAAAUUUCAAGUAUAUUUUUCUGCUAUGUGUAGAGCAACCUCUGUUUGUUUACUUUUCAUUAUUGCUUGUAAGAAACAUCAUUUAUGUUGUGCUUCUAGCCUAUGCAUAUCUUUAAAGUAUAUCUCUUGUAGACAGCAAGUGUUGGAUCUUGUUUUUUCAAAAUCCAUUCAGAUGUUCUAUUUCUAUGAAUAGCAGCUUUAAUCUAUGUAUUCAAAAUAAUUUAAUAUGGAGAAGAACUUAGGCCUACCUUCUUAGCAAUUGUUUUCUGUCUGUCUUACAGUUUUUGAGGUCUUUCUUUUCUUCUCUGUGUUUGUCUAUCUUAUUUUGCAGGGGAGAAUUUGCAUUUUCUUGUUUCUCUCUGUACAUAAUCUAAAGGUAUUGUCUUUAUGUUUACCACAGGGUUGUGUAGCAUGACCUAUAUUUAUAACACAGACUUUAAACUGACUGCAGCUUAUUUUCAACAGUAAAUGAAAAUUCUAUGUUUUGUUUUAUUCCUGCAUUAUUUUGGGAAUGGGCAGACCUUGUUUGUAAUCAGCAAGUGUUCUGACACUGAGCCACACCCUCAGCCCUAUGUGCUGUCAUUAAUGUCACAAAUUAUAUUUUUAAGGCUGUAUUCUUCAUUUAUGUCUAGCACCAUAGAUGAAAUCAAUUUCACACUGUGACUGUGGUAUCUCACUAGUCUAUGCAUUUACUUGACUCUCCAUUUCCCUUUGCCACUGAGUGUUCUACCUUUAUAUGCUUUUAUGGGAUUGUUUAUCAUCCUUUAAAUUUAAUUAAAAUUAUCUUUAGCAUUUAUUAUUUUCAUAAA